rnacentral:rRNA from 1 species
GACGAACGCUGGCGGCGUGCCUAAUACAUGCAAGUCGAGCGAAUCGAUGGGAGCUUGCUCCCUGAGAUUAGCGGCGGACGGGUGAGUAACACGUGGGUAACCUGCCUGUAAGACUGGGAUAACUUCGGGAAACCGGAGCUAAUACCGGAUAAUUUCUUUUCUCGCAUGAGGAGAGAUGGAAAGAUGGUUCUGCUAUCACUUACAGAUGGACCCGCGGCGCAUUAGCUAGUUGGUGAGGUAACGGCUCACCAAGGCGACGAUGCGUGGCCGACCUGAGAGGGUGAGCGGCCACACUGGGACUGGGACACGGCCCAGAGUCCGACGGGAGGCAGCAGUAGGGAAUCUUCCGCAAUGGACGAAAGUCUGACGGAGCAACGCCGCGUGAGCGAAGAAGGCCUUCGGGUCGUAAAGCUCUGUUGUCAGGGAAGAACAAGUACGAGAGUAACUGCUCGUACCUUGACGGUACCUAACCAGAAAGCCACGGCUAACUACGUGCCAGCCGCCGCCGUAACAC